UGGACGGCCCGGCGAAGAGAAAUAUACGUUACUCUCUUUACGCGGCCUCGAACUGGAGAAGGGCCGCCUAUAUAUGCAAUCGCUGUUAAGCGGCCGAACUCCGUAUGCGGCCCCACAGGCCGAUGCGCGCGCGAGAGAAGCGACAGGGCAGACAGGGCGCGGCGAAGCCGGCGAGCCGUCGGAAACAACUGCACCACGCAUGCGCGCGAA
rnacentral:lncRNA from 1 species